UCUUUAUUUAGGAAGUACCGGGUAGAUUAAAAGUGAAUCGUUAAUCCUGUGGCUACAGGGUAGCGUAUAGUCCAAAACACAAAUCUAUCCAUGCAAGCAUUUUACCGUCAGUCUCUACUGGCGGUUUUUUUUAUCUGUACGAUAGCAAAAAAGAAGGCCCCCCGCGGUGUUUCGGCGCGAGGGGCCUGUUUGGUGGGGGAUUAUCUCCGUUCAUCAGUCG
rfam:Kluyvera intermedia strain CAV1151, complete genome.